GGCAUCGAUGAAGAACGCAGCGAAAUGCGAUAAGUAAUGUGAAUUGCAGAAUUCAGUGAAUCAUCGAAUCUUUGAACGCACAUUGCGCCCCUUGGUAUUCCGAGGGGCAUGCCUAUUCGAGCGUCAUUAUCACCCCUCAAGCCUAGCUUGGUGUUGA
rnacentral:rRNA from 1 species